AGUUGGCAGGAUGGCAGCAGCAGACACACAGGGUGGUUAAGAACAACAAACACAGGCAAACCACUUCAAUAGAACAUGGCUGGCGGCCAUAUGGACAUAUUUGAAUCCAACAAUUAAUUCAGCAAAGAAAGCUGCUUGUGGCAAGUUUUGAAUGUGCCAUUCCAGGUAGUGCUUUGAUGAUAAAUGAGGAGAAGAUUGCAAAGAAAAUGACAGCAACAUUUAUAAAAGGGUCUCAUGAAUAUAACACGAUGCCCAGCACAUAGAAAGCAUACAAUAAGUGUUUGUUGGAUAACUGUGGACAGUUCAGUCGACCAGCAAAUUCCUCUUAGGACUCUAGAUGCACGGAGAGUGGCCAGAUUAAUACAGACUGGCAAAAGAAGAACUUGGCAAAGUGAUUUGAUCACACACUUCUCACCCUCACAUCUCCUGACAGUUCCCCUAAUCCCUGCCCCACUUCCCCGCCAUGGGCUUCCAUCAGGAAACUCCUUGAUAUCAUCUUCGAGAAGAAAACUGAGGCAUAGAACAUUUGGGAAUGAAUCUAAGACUACACAUCUAGAAUAGCAGAGGAAGGCAAUGUAUCGCAUCCUGUAUUACCUUCCCCUGACCUCAUAGCUUCCCAAAACAGGAACAAUCAUGGGCUUUGAAGUUACAGGAAUGCAGAUGUGAUUCCUAUGGAUGAGGGUAACCUAGAGGCUAGAAGAACAAUAGGACAGAAGAAGCCUGGGUCCCUGAACAACCUUGUGGAGCAUAGACACCUACGUGGCCUGGACUGCCAGCUCACAAUGGGCCUCUCUGUGAGAGAAGGAAACUUCCCUCUUGUUUAAGCAACUGUGCUUUUGAGAAUCUCUUGGUCUAUACCCUAAUGAAUAAGGCCAUCAUAAAUGGAUAUCAAAGUAAGGAAAUUUGUGUAAAUGAUUUAAUAAAACAUUACCUCAGGUAUGAAAUAA
rnacentral:lncRNA from 1 species